GAUGAACGCUGGCGGUAUGCUUAACACAUGCAAGUCGAACGGACUCUUCGGAGUUAGUGGCGGACGGGUGAGUAACGCGUGAGAAUCUGGCUUUGGGUUCGGGACAACCACUGGAAACGGUGGCUAAUACCGGAUGUGCCGAGAGGUAAAAGAGAAAUUGCCUGAAGAUGAGCUCGCGUCUGAUUAGCUAGUUGGUGAGGUAAAGGCUCACCAAGGCAGCGAUCAGUAGCUGGUCUGAGAGGAUGACCAGCCACACUGGGACUGAGACACGGCCCAGACUCCUACGGGAGGCAGCAGUGGGGAAUUAUCCGCAAUGGGCGAAAGCCUGACGGAGCAAUACCGCGUGAGGGAAGAAGGCUCUUGGGUUGUAAACCUCUUUUCUUAGGGAAGAACAAAAUGACGGUACCUAAGGAAUCAGCAUCGGCUAACUCCGUG
rnacentral:rRNA from 1 species